rnacentral:rRNA from 1 species
GAAACCAACAGGGAUUGCCCCAGUAACGGCGAGUGAAGCGGCAAGAGCUCAAAUUUGAAAGCUGGCUCCUUCGGGGUCCGCAUUGUAAUUUGCAGAGGAUGCUUCGGGAGCGGUCCCCAUCUAAGUGCCCUGGAACGGGACGUCAUAGAGGGUGAGAAUCCCGUAUGGGAUGGGGUGUCCGCGCCCGUGUGAAGCUCCUUCGACGAGUCGAGUUGUUUGGGAAUGCAGCUCUAAAUGGGUGGUAAAUUUCAUCUAAAGCUAAAUAUUGGCCGGAGACCGAUAGCGCACAAGUAGAGUGAUCGAAAGAUGAAAAGCACUUUGAAAAGAGAGUUAAAAAGCACGUGAAAUUGUUGAAAGGGAAGCGCUUGCGACCAGACUCGCUCGCGGGGUUCAGCCGGCAUUCGUGCCGGUGUAUUUCCCCGCGGGCGGGCCAGCGUCGGUUUGGGCGGUCGGUCAAAGGCCCUCGGAAGGUAACGCCCCCAGGGGCGUCUUAUAGCCGAGGGUGCAAUGCGAC